UCUCAGUCCCCUCAAGGAUUGAACUCACAACCCAGGGUUUAGCAAGCCAAUGCUCAAACCACUGAGCUAGCUCUCCCCUCAUAAUUCCCCGCAUUGCUUUAGUUAGUUUCUGCCAGACACAUAACAUUAUCUUAAUGUAGUUUUUUUGUAUUCAUUUCUUCUACACCUGAGGUUUUAAAGGGGGUUGGCUUUAGUGUCUGCAUGGGCAGGGGUGGUGGUUUUUUGUUUAUAAAAUACAUAUUCUAGCAUCUUUUUGAAGUAUGUAAAAUCACAUUUAAA